UACAGCGGCGUACGGGUGAGUAACACGUGGGUGAUCUACCUCUUAGUGGGGAAUAACCCUGGGGAAACCGGGGCUAAUACCGCAUAAGCCUUAGCAGGGAAAGUCGAAAGACGCUGAGAGAGGAGCCCGCGGCUGAUUAGCUAGUUGGUGGGGUAAAGGCCCACCAAGACAUAGAUCGGUAGCCGGCCUGAGAGGGCACACGGCCACACUGGCACUGAAACACGGGCCAG
rnacentral:rRNA from 1 species